ACCACGUGAUCAAGAGAUGAUCGAUUUCAUGAUUGAUUGAAUAAAGAGAAGGUUAACCUUAGACAAAAGGGGGGCGUCAAUGGUUCGGAUAGUAAUAAGAAACACCUUCAACCCGCUCUUGCUUUCAGAGUGAAGGAGAGGAGAUAUCAUUGAAGCUUAACUUUUGCGUGUUUUAGAAAAUUGCAUGCGUAGAUAGGAUGAGAGAGGGAGUUUGGUCUUAGCUGUGAAGCAAUGGUUCACAGCACCACACGGGGUUCAAAGUUUAUGUCAAGCCCUGAAGACACAAUUCUGAGCGCUAUUCUAAAUACAACACUGAGCUUUUACUUUCAACAACCGAGCUCUACAAGUUCGGCGCGCUCUCUCCGGGCAAGCACGCUAUCUCCAUGGUACCAUCAGUCAAUUAACAAUGCAGAACAGUUUACGUUUUCAUCCAAAAGAUGCGGUAUUAAUCUACCUCUACCUUUUAAUCUACCUUUCUCACGAGCCUC